UAGCAUAUCAAUAAGCGGAGGGGAAAGAACUAACUAGGAUUCCCUUAGUAACGGCGAGUGAACCGGGAUGAGCUCAAAUUUGAAAUCUGGCGUCUUUCAGGCGUCCGAGUUGUAAUCUAUAGAGGCGUUUUCCGCGCCGGACCGCGUCCAAGUCUCUUGGAAUAGAGUAUCACAAGAGGGUGACAAUCCCGUACUUGACGCGACAACCGGUGCUCUGUGAUACGUUCUCAAUGAGUCGAGUUGUUUGGGAAUGCAGCUCUAAAUGGGUGGUAAAUUCCAUCUAAGGCUAAAUAUUGGCGAGAGACCGAUAGCGAACAAGUACCGUGAGGGAAAGAUGAAAAGCACUUUGGAAAGAGAGUUAAACAGCACGUGAAAUUGUUAAAAGGGAAACGAUUGAAGUCAGUCGUGUGGGAAGUAUUCAGCCGUCUCUGGCGGUGUAUUUGCUUCUCACGGGUCAACAUCAGUUUGAUCCGGUAGAAAAAGGCGGGAAGAAGGUGGCACCCUCGGGUGUGUUAUAGCUUCCUGUCAUAUGUGCCGGACCAGACUGAGGAACGCAGCUUGCAGCAAUGCCGGGGUUCGCCCACGUACAAGCUUAGGAUGUUGACAUAAUGGCUUUAAACGACCCGUCUUGAAACACGGACCAAGGAGUCUAACAUAUCUGCGAGUGUUUGGGUGUCAAACCCAAGCGCGAAAUGAAAGUGAACGUAGGAGGGAUGCGCAAGCAGCACCUUCGACCGAUCCGGAAGUAUUCUGAUGGAUUUGAGUAAGAGCAUAUAUGCUGGGACCCGAAAGAUGGUGAACUAUGCCUGAAUAGGGCGAAGCCAGGGGAAACUCUGGUGGAGGCUCGUAGCGAUUCUGACGUGCAAAUCGAUCGUCAAAUUUGGGUAUAGGGGCGAAAGACUAAUCGAACCAUCUAGUAGCUGGUUCCUGCCGA
rnacentral:rRNA from 1 species